GGAUAUAAAGAAAAUGAAUUUAUUUUAAUUCCAACAAAAAUGAUUUACAAAAACAUUUGUAAAUUUAGUUAUUAAAUUUAUAUGCAUUGCAUAUUUAUUUAUAUUAAGCAUUUAGCAUCUACACGAGCUAUUUAUUUAAGCAAACACUGAACGAUUAUUACAGUUUUCAUAGUACAACCCGGAAGACUUUUUAUUUUAUUCAAUCACCUACCUCUCCACCACACUAAUCUUUUUCCCUACCACCACUAAUAUUUUCUUUUCCCUACCACUAAUCUUUUUCCCUACCACCACUAAUAUUUUCUUUUCCCUACCACUAAUAUUUUUCCCUACCACCACUAAUUUGUUUUCAUACCACUAUGCUUUGUAAAAAAAAAAAAAAAGCUUUUAGUCAUGCCCUUAUAUCCUUACUUCUCUCUGCACAACCAAAGUUGGAAUUCAUAGAAGCCUUUAAGCUCCAAGAGUAGUAUCAAAGUAAGGGAGAGCGUGGGAAACCUAGGGCGUAAAGUUAGAGUGAAGAUUGUGCUUCGAGGGCUUUGUGAUGACCAGGAGGAUUAGCGCUACUUUUCCCAAGACAGGUUUUUAUGUGUAUGAUCUUCAGGCUUUGCCUAACCAGGUUGGCUGGCUGGUGCUGACGGGACGGAGCUGAGGCUAGAGAUAAAUUCCUAUGUUAGACUUCCGCUGUAGCAAUUACUCUUAUACAUCUUUUGUUUUCUCAACUUAAGAUGACUUCAUUUGAGCUUCAAUUUAAAAUUUAUAGUUUUAUGUUAAUGAACGUCGGUUGUCAGAAGCAUGAAACAAAACUUGUGAUCCAAAGGGGCAUAGCCCGACUCUUUAUUUUAUUAUUCGGGUUUUAACAAGGUUGUUCCUUGUUUAUUUA